rnacentral:rRNA from 1 species
GCUUGUCUCAAAGAUUAAGCCAUGCAUGUCUAAGUGUAAAUACGUCUACACUGUGAAACUGCGAAUGGCUCAUUAAAUCAGUUAUCGUUUAUUUGAUGAUCUCUUGUUACAUGGAUAACCGUAGUAAUUCUAGAGCUAAUACAUGCGUCAAGCCCCGACUUCGGAAGGGGUGUAUUUAUUAGAUUCAAAACCAACCGUGUAAAAAGCGUACCUUGGUGAUUCAUAAUAAUUAAGCGGAUCGCAUGGCCUUGUGCUAGCGACAGUCCACUCGAUUUUCUGCCCUAUCAUGGUUGAGAUUGUAAGAUAGAGGCUUACAAUGCCUACAACGGGUAACGGGGAAUUAGGGUUCGAUUCCGGAGAGGGAGCCUGAGAAACGGCUACCACAUCCAAGGAAGGCAGCAGG